rnacentral:rRNA from 1 species
CAAGUCGAGGGGCAGCAUCAUCAAAGCUUGCUUUGAUGGAUGGCGACCGGCGCACGGGUGAGUAACACGUAUCCAACCUGCCGACAACACUGGGAUAGCCUUUCGAAAGAAAGAUUAAUACCGGAUGGCAUAGUUUUCCCGCAUGGGAUGAUUAUUAAAGAAUUUCGGUUGUCGAUGGGGAUGCGUUCCAUUAGGCAGUUGGCGGGGUAACGGCCCACCAAACCAACGAUGGAUAGGGGUUCUGAGAGGAAGGUCCCCCACAUUGGAACUGAGACACGGUCCAAACUCCUACGGGAGGCAGCAGUGAGGAAUAUUGGUCAAUGGACGAGAGUCUGAACCAGCCAAGUAGCGUGAAGGAUGACUGCCCUAUGGGUUGUAAACUUCUUUUAUACGGGAAUAAAGUUAGCCACGUGUGGCUUUUUGUAUGUACCGUAUGAAUAAGGAUCGGCUAACUCCGUGCCAGCAGCCGCGGUAAUACGGAGGAUCCGAGCGUUAUCCGGAUUUAUUGGGUUUAAAGGGAGCGUAGGCGGGUUG